GGUAGCUCAGUGGUAGAGUGCAUGCCUUGCAAGCAUGAAGCCCUGGGUUCAAUUCCUCAGUACCA
rnacentral:tRNA from 1 species